rnacentral:tRNA from 1 species
UACCCCGUAGUGUAACGGUAGCACCUGAGAUUCUGAUUCUCAUUGUCUAGGUUCGAAUCCUAGCGGGGUAA